ensembl:lncRNA
UUCAGGGGGGAAGUCUUUACUAGAGCUUGGUGCUUUCCGAAUCCCCUUCUCGGCUGAAACGAAUGGCCAAAAGACCGAAGACGUGACGAGCACCGUCCUCAACUAAUGGAGAGACUUCUAGUCGGGUCACUAUAUCAAGAGGAGGUGGAUGAGCAGGACGUUUCCUGUAAACUGGCAUGACUUACCUCCUUGAUGAUCCGAGCCUGACUCAUGGAAAAAGCAGCCACCACCACCAGCAGCAGCAGCAGCAGCCUCCCCCACCCCCGCCCCCUCUCCGUACCCGGGGACAUCUACAGCAUGGCUGUCAUAGCUGCUGUUAUCGAGGACCCCGCUCAACGUCAAAGAUGAAUGAACUAUAGCUUCAGCACAGCUUCUCGCUUCACCGACAGGAUGUUUGCUGUGUGCACCAUACAUCAAUGGCAGGGCCUUGCUGAGAUCAAACAGCAUGGAUCCGGGUGGACACCAAAGCAAGCCUAUGGCCUACUUAUGGUCUUCUAUACGGAGUAAGCUGCAGGAACUUUGGCAGUGUGUAUGUGUGUGUGUGAGAGGGCGUGCUUUUGGCUCGCUAACUUUAUUUUACUUUUACACCUUGAUGUUUAUCUACAGGUUCAGUCGAAUUCCAUGAACUUAACUUAAACCUCCCCCCGAAUUGCCAUCUUCUUGUACAGUCUACAGACACGAUUUCUUUGUAUCCUAUUGCUCAUGGAUUUCGCAUGAAACAAUGUCUGCUUAGCAGCGCAUUGCAACCGGUCUUUUUAUGUUCCUCAAUAAUACAUUGUUGAAUGAUCUCACCUCAUUUCAAAACUAUCCAGUUCGCAAAGAUGACCUGCUGGGGAAGGAAUGAGGCAAUAAUCCCCAGCUUGAUCCGAUUGCUUUUGCGUAAACUUUAUUUCCCGGCUUUUAUGGGGUUGAUCGUAGCUUGGACCUACGCAGAGAAAAAACAAAAACAAAUCCAGUCCGUGUGUAUAUUGCGCUGAGCUCAUCGAUGGCGCCUUUGGUAAUUAUAAUGUGAAUUGUGUGUGAAAACAAUCCUAGCAGCCUUUGCCACAAUUAUGCCGCAUUUGGCGACUCAAAUGUGUGCAGAGAUUCAUUCACUCACUUGUCCAAAUAGCCUGUCUGCAGACUCCUCGUUGGACAUUGACAUGGGUUCAUAAGGCAGAAUGCGAGAAUGAAAGGGAUGUAGAAGGUCAUUGAUGUUAACAAAGAAACUUGCAAAGCGAUUGUUGGCUUACCUAGAAUUGAACGUGCAAUUGGUUAGCAUAUUAAUGUUGAGGUAGAAGUGAUGAUAUAGAAUCAUAAUUUAUCCCUGGAACUUCUUUUGUGUCUUUUGAACGGUUUGUAGUCGGAAGAGUAAUGCGCUUGGAUUUCCAUUGUUCAGUUCAGGAAAUAGCUUCAGCCAGCCUAAACCCUCUCCCACAUAACGAUCCUUGAUGAAAAACUAAACUCAUUUCACGUGUUUCCCACUGUGACACUGGGGAAUAAUAUUGCCACCUGUUCAAUAAUGAUCUGACUAAAAUAUCACCAUAUAAGGAGGUAUCGUAUUAGAUGAUGAUAGAAGAUGAUACAUCUGCACUGUGGAGCAUAAAGGGAGGCUAAUUUAAUCUUUAAUCAGCUCCGAUGUAACCCAUCAAUAUGUCUGCGUGUGCUGGUGUAGCAUGUUUGAAAGAAUGUGGCACCUUUUAAUGCCAAUGUGCUGGCCCCACGGUCCUCAUGGAUUGGUUAAAAGGCUCAGGGCUCUUUUCAUUAAUUUGAUUUGCUAACAAAGGGCUCAUACCAAUGAGUGUCUAUCUGGGACUGAAUAUAUAUUGCUGUGAGAGUACAUGGCUUGUCUUUGUCUAAUUACCCUUUUGUCUGUAGCCCCCGAGAGGCGAAAGUUUGAGGUUCUGCUUGAGCAAGG